rnacentral:rRNA from 1 species
GGCAUCAUACUGACACUGAGGCUCGAAAGCGUGGGUAGCAAACAGGAUUAGAUACCCUGGUAGUCCACGCCGUAAACGAUGUCUACUAGUCGUUGGGUCCCUUGAGGACUUAGUGACGCAGCUAACGCAAUAAGUAGACCGCCUGGGGAGUACGGCCGCAAGGUUAAAACUCAAAUGAAUUGACGGGGGCCCGCACNAGCGGUGGAGCAUGUGGUUUAAUUCGAUGCAACGCGAAGAACCUUACCUGGUCUUGACAUACACAGAAUCUUGUAGAGAUACGAGAGUGCCUUCGGGAAUUGUGAUACAGGUGCUGCAUGGCUGUCGUCAGCUCGUGUCGUGAGAUGUUGGGUUAAGUCCCGCAACGAGCGCAACCCUUGUCCUUAGUUACCAGCGGGUUAAGCCGGGAACUCUAAGGAUACUGCCAGUGACAAACUGGAGGAAGGCGGGGACGACGUCAAGUCAUCAUGGCCCUUACGACCAGGGCUACACACGUGCUACAAUGGUAGGUACAGAGGGCAGCUACACAGCGAUGUGAUGCGAAUCUCAAAAAGCCUAUCGUAGUCCAGAUUGGAGUCUGCAACUCGACUCCAUGAAGUAGGAAUCGCUAGUAAUCGCGGAUCAGAAUGCCGCGGUGAAUACGUUCCCGGGCCUUGUACACACCGCCCGUCACACCAUGGGAGUUGAUUGCACCAGAAGUGGUUAGCC